rnacentral:lncRNA from 1 species
GCGUGAUCGGAUCAAGCGCCAGGAUGUGAGAUGCUCGCCAAGUGGACGUCAUCUAACAACACUAAAGUAGUGUUUAUCCUAGGCAAGCCCCGGUGCAUUUGCCACCUCCUUGUUGCUUUAAAAAUUUUAUCACUUAUAUGCUGCAUUAGGUAGUAGGAGUUGAAUGAUUAAACCUUUGUUGCAUAACUUCCUUGAACUAUUGAUUACCAUCCUUGAUACAUGUUUUAAAAAGCUAGAUGUGCUUAGUAUGCUCAUAGACUAAGAACAAAAUGUUUUGAUCUAUGAAUCAUGUUUUUACAAAGAAAAAGAGGCUGGAGUGAUGAAGGUAUCAAAGGCCUUGAUGACUUCAUCAUUUCAGUAGGGUACCUCUGACAGGUACCAGGUUUUUAGAAAUAAUUUAAUGUGAGACCAGACGUUGAGCAGGAAAGGUCGCCCGUCUAUGUCGCUUCAGGACCGUCUGAUUGUUGGCCUGCUGAUCUAGGACCCUUUAACUGGCCACAUGCCUCAUCAUAGGUAAGCUUAGCCUCGGUCAGACCAAUACCAGAAUAGCUCGCACUGGGAGUGGAGAGAUGGCGGGAGUAACGUGUGCCCACCUGGCAAGUGGCUGGAUGGUGGGGUACUGUGCUCUCGGGUCGCGUGAUCCCGUUCUGGUCUUGAGAAACCCGGUGGCGAGUUGACAUAUCCAAGGGUUAAGUGCUACAUAUGUCGUGUGGUUGGAGAUCCCCAGUUGGGUAUUAAUCGAUUUGGAUCGCCAAACUUCUCAGAUAUGAAGACUGGAUCUUCGACCCUCGUCGUGGAUAACAAGUGAAACUAAAGUUGCUAAAAUGAACCUAGUGUAGGACAAGUGAAUGUUCUAGAUUAGGCAAAUCUAGAUUCAGGAAAACUACUUAACUUGUGAGCUAAAAUUUUGGCAUAAACAUACACUACUAGUAAGCUUUUCUGCAAAAACGAGUCUUUGAAAUUUGAUAAGCUUUACAUUUAUUCCCGACAAACCAGCAUACCUUGAGAGUCUUUUCUUUAGUCGGGUAAGUCUUGCUGAGUAAUUGCGUACUCAGGGUUUUAUUCCUAUUGUUGCUGCAGGUUACGAGUCGCUUUGAUUGUGAUUGAUGUUAAGUGCCGAUGGGCUCGGCCUUCUCAUAUAAGUACAUCCCAUCUAUAGCUUCUUUAUUGAGGAUUGUCACUUAAGCUAGCAUGUAUUUUAAAACUUAUAAAUGUUUUAUACAUUCAAAUUGUAAUAUUUUUUAAUCAAUUUCUUU